UACCAGCACCCCGAGUGGUCGGGACGAUUAUUGGGCCUAAAGCAUCCGUAGCCGGUUCUACAAGUCUUCCGUUAAAUCCAUCUGCUUAACAGAUGGGCUGCGGAGGAUACUAUGGAGCUAGGAGGCGGGAGAGGCAAGCGGUACUUAGUGGGUAGGGGUAAAAUCCGUUGAUCCACUGAAGACCACCAGUGGCGAAGGCGGCUUGCCAGAACGCGCUCGACGGUGAGGGAUGAAAGCUGGGGGAGCAAAC
rnacentral:rRNA from 1 species